rnacentral:snRNA from 1 species
GGAUGUGAGGGCGAUCUGGCUGCGACAUCUGUCACCCCAUUGAUCGCCAGGGUUGAUUCGCCUGAUCUGGCUGGCUGGGCGGGUGUCCCCCUCCUCCCUCACUGAUCCAUGUGCGUCCCUCCCGAGGCUGCGGAGGCUGAGCGCUCGGUUGAGGAGGACGAUCUCCGCCCCCCCCACACACCCCCGAGGAGGGGACCGGUCUUCAGUCGGUGGUGUACGAGUGGCUGCGCUCCCCUGCUGGAACCUCCAAACAAGCUCUCAAACUAGGGCUCCAUUUUGGGUUUUAUUGCAAAGAGGCAAAUGGUGCUAACAAGUUACCACUGUGACAGCUUGUA